CCUACGGGGUGCAGCAGUGAGGAAUAUUGGUCAAUGGACGAGAGUCUGAACCAGCCAAGUAGCGUGAAGGAUGACUGCCCUAUGGGUUGUAAACUUCUUUUAUAUGGGAAUAAAAUGUUCCACGUGUGGGAUUUUGUAUGUACCAUAUGAAUAAGGAUCGGCUACCUCCGUGCCAGCAGCCGCGGUAAUACGGAGGAUCCGAGCGUUAUCCGGAUUUAUUGGGUUUAAAGGGAGCGUAGGUGGAUUGUUAAGUCAGUUGUGAAAGUUUGCGGCUCAACCGUAAAAUUGCAGUUGAAACUGGCAGUCUUGAGUACAGUAGAGGUGGGCGGAAUGCGUGGUGUAGCGGUGAAAUGCUUAGAUAUCACGAAGAACUCCGAUUGCGAAGGCAGUUCACUGGACUGCAACUGACACUGAGGCUCGAAAGUGUGGGUAUCAAACAGGAUUAGAUACCCGAGUAGUC
rnacentral:rRNA from 1 species